GGUUGUGUAGUGUAGUGGUGAUCACUCCGGAUUUUGAUCACUUUCGACCAAAACUUCCGGCAACCCCGGUUCGAGCCCGGGCACGACCU